rnacentral:tRNA from 1 species
CGCAGGGUGGAGCAGCUUGGUAGCUCGUCAGGCUCAUAACCUGAAGGUCAGUGGUUCAAAUCCACUCCCUGCACCCA